UCUUGAAGCCAGUGAGAAUUGGUGGU
rnacentral:piRNA from 1 species